CCAGGGAUAACUCAGUUGCUUAGAGUGUGGCACCUAUAAUGCCAAGGGUGCAGGUUCGAUAAGCUGCAUAUUCUUGCA